UACGUAGGGCGCAAGCGUUGUCCGGAAUUAUUGGGCGUAAAGAGCUCGUAGGCGGCUUGUCACGUCGGGUGUGAAAGCCCGGGGCUUAACCCGGGUCUGCAUUCGAUACGGGCUGCUAGAGUGUGGUAGGGGAGAUCGGAAUUCCUGGUGUAGCGGUGAAAUGCGCAGAUAUCAGGAAGAACACCAAUGGCGAAAGCAGCUUUCUGGGACGGUACUGACGCUGAGACGCGAAAGCGUGGGGAGCGAACAGG
rnacentral:rRNA from 1 species